rnacentral:rRNA from 1 species
GACGAACGCUGGCGGCGCGCCUAACACAUGCAAGUCGAACGAGAGAUGAGGAGCUUGCUCUUCAAAUCGAGUGGCGAACGGGUGAGUAACGCGUGAGGAACCUGCCUCAAAGAGGGGGACAACAGUUGGAAACGACUGCUAAUACCGCAUAAGCCCACGGCUCGGCAUCGAGCAGAGGGAAAAGGAGCAAUCCGCUUUGAGAUGGCCUCGCGUCCGAUUAGCUAGUUGGUGAGGUAACGGCCCACCAAGGCGACGAUCGGUAGCCGGACUGAGAGGUUGAACGGCCACAUUGGGACUGAGACACGGCCCAGACUCCUACGGGAGGCAGCAGUGGGGAAUAUUGCACAAUGGGGGAAACCCUGAUGCAGCGACGCCGCGUGGAGGAAGAAGGUCUUCGGAUUGUAAACUCCUGUUGUUGAGGAAGAUAAUGACGGUACUCAACAAGGAAGUGACGGCUAACUACGUGCCAGCAGCCGCGGUAAAACGUAGGUCACAAGCGUUGUCCGGAAUUACUGGGUGUAAAGGGAGCGCAGGCGGGAGAACAAGUUGGAAGUGAAAUCCAUGGGCUCAACCCAUGAACUGCUUUCAAAACUGUUUUUCUUGAGUAGUGCAGAGGUAGGCGGAAUUCCCGGUGUAGCGGUGGAAUGCGUAGAUAUCGGGAGGAACACCAGUGGCGAAGGCGGCCUACUGGGCACCAACUGACGCUGAGGCUCGAAAGUGUGGGUAGCAAACAGGAUUAGAUACCCUGGUAGUCCACACCGUAAACGAUGAUUACUAGGUGUUGGAGGAUUGACCCCUUCAGUGCCGCAGUUAACACAAUAAGUAAUCCACCUGGGGAGUACGACCGCAAGGUUGAAACUCAAAGGAAUUGACGGGGGCCCGCACAAGCAGUGGAGUAUGUGGUUUAAUUCGACGCAACGCGAAGAACCUUACCAAGUCUUGACAUCCUGCGACGCACAUAGAAAUAUGUGUUUCCUUCGGGACGCAGAGACAGGUGGUGCAUGGUUGUCGUCAGCUCGUGUCGUGAGAUGUUGGGUUAAGUCCCGCAACGAGCGCAACCCUUAUGGUCAGUUACUACACAAGAGGACUCUGGCCAGACUGCCGUUGACAAAACGGAGGAAGGUGGGGAUGACGUCAAAUCAUCAUGCCCUUUAUGACUUGGGCUACACACGUACUACAAUGGCGUUAAACAAAGAGAAGCAAGACCGCGAGGUGGAGCAAAACUCAGAAACAACGUCCCAGUUCGGACUGCAGGCUGCAACUCGCCUGCACGAAGUCGGAAUUGCUAGUAAUCGUGGAUCAGCAUGCCACGGUGAAUACGUUCCCGGGCCU